GAUUAGAAAGUGUUUACAAACAACUCACGCAGCAAUCUGCAGAACCGAGUGGAACAUAAUGGAUACCUUUACUGCAAAAGAACAAGCAAACAAGAGAUAUGUAGCAUAAUUUUAAACUGCGUUCAAUACGGAAACAAUAUUUCUCAACAACGUUCUUUCAUACAGGUGCUGAAAACAACUUUAUACAGCAUUCUUCCCACAGGAAUUUACGUCUCACAACUUGCCUUCCAGUGAGUUUGGUGAAGGUUUUCGGUAUAUAUGCGAAGAAAUAAGAAAUGCUUGCAAUGUUUAAUGAGGUAGAUAUUCUUUUGAAUGAAGCAUGUUCAAACCAGCUUUUUUGUUGUACAAUCCAACGAUCCGGCUGCUGCUCUUAUCAAAUAAUGCUUCAAAUAUUGCAGCGUUUGUUUUACGGUAGCUGAGCAACACUUUUAAACUAGCUUAUAGAUUGCAAGCACCAACUCGCAGUGUAUAACUGGAACCAACUGUGGUAUCCUAGAGUACAGCUAAGAGAGUGUGAGGGGGUCAGUCAGUGUCGGACAACGAAUAAAGCUGGAUGUGCGUCCCUGUACAGGAGGAGAAAGCUUGUGGUUGGAUUAGAAGAUAUCACACCAACCACAGAACCUUUCUCGCAUAAGAUCGUCGUCUAAACAUGCUCAACAAUGGAAUACGGUUUUUGUGGAGCACCUGGACAGGAACGUGCACAACGUGCCCUGAAGAUGCAGCUAGUCGGCUUAAGGAAGGAUUAUAUUUGGGGCCCGCGAAUGGGGAGGGAUAUAUUUGUAUCGUCAGCAUAAACAAAGUGGUUUCCUGGAGCAAACACCCCAAAUACGUCAUACAAAGAGUACAAUGAAAUGUCGAUCAACGUUGCUUCCUUGUGACAUACCCAACGAAGCGAUGGUACGGUGCAAAGUGUAGUGUCCAGGCCAACAGCUGUUCCGGCAGUCUGUGAGUUCGGAGUUUGACGAGUAGUAAGGAACGUGGAACAGUGGCGGAUUAAGAAUCGGGGGCUCUAGGCGGUAAGACUAGUUGAGGCCCCCUGUAAAUGGUAAAUGGUGUUCUAGGGGGUCAGUCGAUAAUCAUUGGCUCUAAAAUUUUUGCUGGCC